GUACUCGAGUGGCGAACGGGUGAGUAACACGUGGGUGAUCUGCCCUGCACUUUGGGAUAAGCCUGGGAAACUGGGUCUAAUACCGAAUAUGACCGCAUGCUUCAUGGUGUGUGGUGGAAAGCUUUUGCGGUGUGGGAUGGGCCCGCGGCCUAUCAGCUUGUUGGUGGGGUAAUGGCCUACCAAGGCGACGACGGGUAGCCGGCCUGAGAGGGUGUCCGGCCACACUGGGACUGAGAUACGGCCCAGACUCCUACGGGAGGCAGCAGUGGGGAAUAUUGCACAAUGGGCGCAAGCCUGAUGCAGCGACGCCGCGUGAGGGAUGACGGCCUUCGGGUUGUAAACCUCUUUCAGCAGGGACGAAGCGCAAGUGACGGUACCUGUAGAAGAAGCACCGGCCAACUACGUGCCAGCAGCCGCGGUAAUACGUAGGGUGCGAGCGUUGUCCGGAAUUACUGGGCGUAAAGAGCUCGUAGGUGGUUUGUCGCGUUGUUCGUGAAAUCUCCG
rnacentral:rRNA from 1 species